rnacentral:tRNA from 1 species
CAUUCCCGUAAAGGAUUUUAUCUUUCUUUGACUUUCUUUCAGAUUAUUUAUUAUUUUAUUAUUAUGACUGGAA